rnacentral:rRNA from 1 species
AGUGAGGAAUAUUGGACAAUGGGCGGGAGCCUGAUCCAGCCAUGCCGCGUGCAGGAAGACUGCCCUAUGGGUUGUAAACUGCUUUUUUACGGGAAGAAACACCCCCACGUGUGGGGGCUUGACGGUACCGUACGAAUAAGGACCGGCUAACUCCGUGCCAGCAGCCGCGGUAAUACGGAGGGUCCGAGCGUUAUCCGGAAUCAUUGGGUUUAAAGGGUCCGUAGGCGGGCGUCUAAGUCAGUGGUGAAAUUCUGCAGCUCAACUGUAGGACUGCCAUUGAUACUGGUCGCCUUGAAUUAGUGUGAAGUGGCUAGAAUAUGUAGUGUAGCGGUGAAAUGCUUAGAUAUUACAUAGAAUACCGAUUGCGAAGGCAGGUCACUAACACUAUAUUGACGCUGAUGGACGAAAGCGUGGGGAGCGAACAGGAUUAGAUACCCUGGUAGUCCACGCCGUAAACGAUGGAUACUAGCUGUCCGGCCUGCAUUGGUAGGCUGGGUGGCCAAGCGAAAGUGAUAAGUAUCCCACCUGGGGAGUACGUUCGCAAGAAUGAAACUCAAAGGAAUUGACGGGGGCCCGCACAAGCGGUGGAGCAUGUGGUUUAAUUCGAUGAUACGCGAGGAACCUUACCAGGGCUUAAAUGUAGUCUGACAGGGGCGGAAACGCCCCCUUCUUCGGACAGACUGCAAGGUGCUGCAUGGUUGUCGUCAGCUCGUGCCGUGAGGUGUCAGGUUAAGUCCUAUAACGAGCGCAACCCCUGUCGUUAGUUGCCAGCAUGUAAAGAUGGGAACUCUAACGAGACUGCCGGUGCAAACCGUGAGGAAGGUGGGGAUGACGUCAAAUCAUCACGGCCCUUACGUCCUGGGCCACACACGUGCUACAAUGGCAGGUACAAUGGGCAGCCACGCCGCAAGGCGGAGCGAAUCCACAAAACCUGUCUCAGUUCGGAUCGGGGUCUGCAACUCGACCCCGUGAAGCUGGAAUCGCUAGUAAUCGGAUAUCAGCCAUGAUCCGGUGAAUACGU